AUUGAACGCUGGCGGCAUGCCUUACACAUGCAAGUCGAACGGCAGCACGGGAGCAAUCCUGGUGGCGAGUGGCGAACGGGUGAGUAACAUAUCGGAACGUGCCCUGGAGUGGGGGAUAACUAGUCGAAAGAUUAGCUAAUACCGCAUACGAUCUACGGAUGAAAGUGGGGGAGUCGCAAGACCUCAUGCUCGUGGAGCGGCCGAUAUCUGAUUAGCAGUUGGUGGGGUAAAGGCCUACCAAGGCAUCGAUCAGUAGCUGGUCUGAGAGGACGACCAGCCACACUGGGACUGAGACACGGGCCCAGACUCCUACGGGGAGGCAGCAGUGGGGAAUUUUGGACAAUGGGCGCAAGCCUGAUCCAGCAAUGCCGCGUGAGUGAAGAAGGCCUU
rnacentral:rRNA from 1 species